rnacentral:misc_RNA from 1 species
AAAGUCGUAACAAGGUUUCCGUAGGUGAACCUGCGGAAGGAUCAUUAUCGAGUUAGGGUCCUCUGGGCUCGACCUCCUACCCUUUGUCUACCUACCUUUUGUUGCUUCGGCGAAUCCGUCCUCUCGGGGACCGCCGGAGAGCUCAGGCUCUCUGGCCCGCGUCCGCCGGUGGCCCACAACCAAAACUCUUGUUUAAACGUGUCGUCUAAGUACAAAAACAAAUAAGUAAAAACUUUCAACAACGGAUCUCUUGGUUCUG